UCAUUUCAAUUGAGAACUGCAUGUGGCAUCAUUGAAUUCCCAGUGCAACAGGCGGCCAAAUUGCGUAGUUUUCGACAAUUUGAUAUUCGCAAGAAGACAGCAUUUUUUGUGGCCGGAUGGAAUGCUCCGCCGGAUUAUUAUUAUAUGAAGGAUAUUAUAAAGGCUUUCAAUUGUCAAAGGGAUUAUAAUUUUGUGGUCGUGAACACCGGUGGCUUUAUAACAAACCUAUAUGCCAAUUCUGCUCAUCACACUGAAAAGUUGGGGAAAUUUAUAGCCAUCGGCUUA